rnacentral:rRNA from 1 species
GUGAGGAAUAUUGCGCAAUGGGCGAAAGCCUGACGCAGCGACGCCGCGUGGAGGAUGAAGGUCUUCGGAUUGUAAACUCCUGUUAAGUGGGAAGAAAGACUCAUUCUUAAUACGAAUGAGGGAUGACUGUACCAUUAGAGAAAGCACCGGCUAACUUCGUGCCAGCAGCCGCGGUAAUACGAAGGGUGCAAGCGUUAUUCGGAAUCAUUGGGCGUAAAGGGUAUGUAGGCGGUAAGUUAAGUCAACUGUUAAAGGUUCCGGCCUAACCGGAAAGAUGCGGUAGAAACUAGCUUACUAGAGGAUGGAAGAGAGAAGUGGAAUUCUCGGAGUAGCGGUAAAAUGCGUGGAUCUCGAGAGGAACACCAAUGGCGAAGGCAGCUUCUUGGUCCAUUUCUGACGCUGAGAUACGAAAGCGUGGGGAGCAAACAGGAUUAGAAACCCCAGUAGUCC